GGGGUGGGCGGGAGAGAGGCGGCAGCCCCGGGCCCGAGGAGCGGCCGUCCGCUGCUGUCCUGCCCGACUCGCUUCUCCUCGCAGCAGACGGUGCCGCUGCCGUAACUCCGGCUGGCGACUUUGCUGCUGAGCUGAAACUGCUAAUUUCUGUGACCAGCUUUUUUCUUAGCUGUGAUCUGGAUGAAUGAGUAGCUGUCUCACAGAGAUGACAAAAAUAAACUCUAAUCCCCCCAAAAA